AGUGAACGCUGGCGGCAUGCUUUACACAUGCAAGUCGAACGGUAACAGGGACUUCGGUCUGCUGACGAGUGGCGAACGGGUGAGUAACAUAUCGGAACGUGCCCAGUAAUGGGGGAGUAGCUCGGCGAAAGACCGGAUUAAUACCGCAUACGCCCUCGAGGGGGAAAGGUAGGGGAGUCUUCGGACCUCACGUUAUUGGAGCGGCCGAUAUCGGAUUAGCUAGUUGGUGGGGUAAAGGCCGUACCAAGGCGACGAUCCGUAGCUGGUCUGAGAGGAUGAUCAGCCACACUGGGACUGAGACACGGCCCAGACUCCUACGGGAGGCGAGCAGUGGGGAA
rnacentral:rRNA from 1 species